UACGAAGGGGCUAGCGUUGCUCGGAAUCACUGGGCGUAAAGGGUGCGUAGGCGGGUCUUUAAGUCAGGGGUGAAAUCCUGGAGCUCAACUCCAGAACUGCCUUUGAUACUGAAGAUCUUGAGUUCGGGAGAGGUGAGUGGAACUGCGAGUGUAGAGGUGAAAUUCGUAGAUAUUCGCAAGAACACCAGUGGCGAAGGCGGCUCACUGGCCCGAUACUGACGCUGAGGCACGAAAGCGUGGGAG
rnacentral:rRNA from 1 species